AACAAAAUCUUCCGCUUUGACGAGCAACAGAUGGUUUAUCGAACAUCCUUGUUCAAUAAUGUUUUGAUUUGAAAAUCAUAACUUUACCAAAUAUUAUCUUUUGUGUUUAUUUUUUGAAAAGAAUUCAAUUGAACGGGUAUAUCUAUCUUUGAUUUUUAUGUGUUGAUACUGUUGUGUGCAGCCUCCAAUGAUAUGGAAAUCCAAUUUUCCACGUUAAUGUCCCGGUUUAUUAUCUUCGUAAGCACAAUAAAACCAUUUUAACAAGACCUUGGACUUUCGGUUGGACGUAGCUAUCUAUUUCUUGCGUCAGACAAGUUCAAAAUAAGACGGUUCAAGCGAAAUGUGCACCGAUAGCGAAGUCUUAGCUCAAAAGCCAGAAAAAUCUUGCUGAUAUCAAAGAGCCAUGGUUGAGUGACCAGCAAUGAAAUAGACAGGUCUACCUCACAAUACUGUUUAAUUGACACAUCUACCCAAAGUCCAAGCUCUUGUUAAAAUGGUUCUAAUACAAUAAUACUACACGCAAGUUUUGAAGACAUGUUUUAUUAUCAUUGUUUAUCAUGUCAGCAUUAAAAUAAUUUCUUUUGUUAAUAAUUGUUUUUUAGUCAUUCUUUGACUCUGGUGGUAAUAACCUUGCUUAAGUAAGUUAUUAUUACCAUAAAAUUCAACUUUUUUUUUCAUGGCAGAUGUACACUGUUUAUAUAUGCAAGAAAUCCAUUUUCAGAUAUUUAAAAAAUCCACUACAGUGAAACUUGAAUAAUAAACUUCAAUUGCAUUGGACCAAAAACUGAGUUGCAUGGGGGAAAAAGUACUAUCUUUGUUUACAAAAUAACAAUGAACUCAUUAUCAAACAUUGAAUCGGAAUGGACAAAACGCAAAACUUUUUCAGGUGUUGGUUUAAAUCCAAGUCUGACUUCCUUGAUUCAAAGUCAAUAUGGAGAUGUGAACCAUAAGAUAUUGAUAUUAUCUUUCAUUCCUUUGUUGAUAAACUCAAUAACUAGCC
rnacentral:sRNA from 1 species